AAUAUUGGACAAUGGGCGAAAGCCUGAUCCAGCCAUGCCGCGAGGGUGAAGAAGGAANNNGGUUUNUAAAGCACUUUAAGUGGNGAANAAUGGCAGUUAGUUAAAAUACUGCUGUAUUUACGUUACCGAAAGAAUAAGCACCGGCUAACUUCGUGCCAGCAGCCGCGGUAAUACGAAGGGUGCAAGCGUUACUCGGCAUUACUGGGCGUAAAGGUCGCGUAGGUGGUUUGUUAGGUUGGAAGUGAAAGCCCAAGGCUCAACCUGGGAAGUGCUUUCAAAACUGGCAAGCUAGAGUAUGGCAGAGGGUGGUGGAAUUUCCUGUGUAGCGGUGAAAUGGGUAGGAAUAGGAAGGAACACCAGUGGCGAAGGCGACCACCUGAGCUAAUACUGACACUGAGGUGCGAAAGCGAGGGGAGCAAACAG
rnacentral:rRNA from 1 species